rnacentral:rRNA from 1 species
CCAGCAGCCGCGGUAAUUCCAGCUCCAAUAGCGUAUAUUAAAGUUGUUGCGGUUAAAAAGCUCGUAGUUGGAGUUCUGUUGCGGAAAACUGGUCCGUCUAUCGGGCGGUAUUUAGAUUUUGCGUUUCAUCUUCUUGAAAAGCUUUGCUGUGCUUGAUUGCAUGGCGUGGGAAUCAGGACAUUUACUUUGAGGAAUUUAGAGUGUUUCAAGCAGGUUUGUGCUGAAAUAGCCUAGCAUGGAAUAAUAACAUGGGGUCUUGGUCUUGUUUGUUGGUUUCUAGGUUGAGGAAAAAAUCAAGAGGGAUAGCUGGGGGCAUUUGUACUUAACUGUAAGAGGUGAAAUUCUUGGAUUUGUUACAGACAAACUACCGCGAAAGCAUUUGUCAUGUGAUAAAGAACGAAAGU